rnacentral:misc_RNA from 1 species
UCUCCGUAGGUGAACCUGCGGAAGGAUCAUUAUCGUGCAAAAAAAAAUUAAAAAUUUUCACAAAUGUAGAUUUUUUACGAUCUUCAUUUUUGAUCAUUUUCUCUUCUUCUACCGUGGACAAAACUUUUCAAUUUCCAAAAUGGAAAAAAAGAAUUUGUUUUCUUUUUCCCUCUGUUUUGGAAAGAAACACACACCCCUUUUACUACUUUUCACAAAAAAAAAAAAAGGAAAAUCAUUUUUCUAUUUUUUUUUUGAAAGUAAUAAAAAUUCAAAUUCAAAACCCCCCAUUCUCUUUUAAAAAACAUUUUUUUUGAUUUGGAAGAAAAUUCUAAAACCAAAGAAAACAAAACAAAAAAUCCACAACUUUCAACGGUGGAUCUCUUGGCUCGU